AGCCUCGCGCCGCCCUCGCUGUGUGUGGGGCAUGCGUGGAUCACUCACGGGUGCACCUUUCCGUGGUCAGCCAAUGGAGGGGCGAGGUGGUGGAGCCCUACCCAGGAGACACGUGUGGGUGGACGGUCCUCGAGGAAAACAGGGCAGCAAUGCAGGGCUGUAAAAUGCAGGCACGGUACGUAGCGGGAAUGACCAGACAGGCGGAAAGGCAGGCCAGGCAGGGGAGACAGAAAAGCGAGAGUGAUGCCAGCAGCCGUGCCAGCCAUUCAUCACCACAAUCAACGGCACAGAAACAUGCACAAAGAGCACACGACAAAGCUACACACAGACAGACAGAGACAGACGGAUGGAUUUGCACGCGUAAUGACUGACAAGUAAACAGCCUGCCAGCCUCCCUGCCAGCCAUUCAGUCUCCUAGCCAAGAAGAAAUGGACAGACUAGCAUGCAAGCCAUGACAAGCGGAGCAGCGUCACGUCGGAUCAGCGGGCAUCAUUCGUCCCCCGCGGCGACCCACCGGCGCGGAGCGAGACCCGUAAUUAACAGGUGUCAUUAACCAGGCAGGGACGGGAGAGAGAAGCCACCGUCAUCACCACCACCACCCCCACUACCACCACCACCAGACAUCAGUAUGCAAACUCUCGCCCCUUUCAUGUGAAGCGCAGCGAGAGACUUGACAAUUACCACCUUGACCUCCACCACGUCUCGCAACCUCACCCUUCCUGGAAACACAGACACGGCAACAGCUCACUUCAGAACCGCUAUUCGAAUCACCAAGUCAAAGAAGAGUGCAACUGGUUUCAUGCAACUUGGUGUAGAUCAUCUUGGGGCUGUCUUCUGCUGCAGUACAACUGGUUUCGUGCAACUUGGUGUAGAUCAUCUUGGGCCUGUCUUCUGCAGUACACCUACAGUGCGACUGGUUUCAUGCAACCUUACUUUUCCUCCUUGCUGGCUACUGAAAAAAAGGCUGUAACAGGAAGAGGACAACCAGUGCCUGGGGCAAGUCCUGCAAUUCUUGUGGGAAGCUCAACCAUUUUGCUGUAAUGUGCCAUGCCAUUCUCCUCCGCCUGCUCCCACCACCACAGCAUCUGGCCUGGAAUGCUGACAAGGGGACUAUCCAA